rnacentral:rRNA from 1 species
UACGUAGGGAGCAAGCGUUGUUCGGAUUUACUGGGCGUAAAGGGCGCGUAGGCGGCUAAUUAAGUCAGCUGUGAAAUCUCCGAGCUUAACUCGGAACGGUCAGCUGAUACUGAUCUGCUAGAGUGCGGAAGGGGCAAUCGGAAUUCUUGGUGUAGCGGUGAAAUGCGUAGAUAUCAAGAGGAACACCUGAGGUGAAGACGGGUUGCUGGGCCGACACUGACGCUGAGUGCGCGAAAGCCAGGGGAGCAAACAGG